rnacentral:misc_RNA from 1 species
GUGAAGAACGUAGCGAAAUGCGAUAAGUAGUGUGAAUUGCAGAAUUCAGUGAAUCAUCGAAUCUUUGAACGCACAUUGCGCCCCUUGGUAUUCCAUGGGGCAUGCCUGUUCGUGCGUCAUUUGUACCUUCAAGCCUUGCUUGGUGUUGGGUGUUUGUCUCGCCUCUGCGCGCAGACUCGCCUCAAAACAAUUGGCAGCCGGCGUAUUGAUUUCGGAGCGCAGUACAUCUCGCGCUUUGCACUCAGAACGACGACGUCCAAAAGUACAUUUUUACACUCUUGACCUCGGAUCAGGUAGGGAUACCCGCUGAACUUAAGCAUAUCAAUAAGCGGAGGA